rnacentral:rRNA from 1 species
CGGUACAGACGACACGGCACCGUGGCAGUGGGAUGCGCAGCGUAAACGCCCUGUACUUUAUUGGGAAACGACAGAGAAAAAGAAUGAAUAAUCCACUUCCGGAAAGGGAGCAUAAAGAAAAAUGGAUAUGAAAAAGAAAAACAAGAUUCUAUCGAUGACAUUCGCAAGGCAGAUUGCGCUGAUGACAGUGUGCAUGAUUGGAGUUGCCGGAACGAUGCAGGCGCAACAGCAGGAAAAGGUAGAGGGGAAAAAUCGUACGCAAUGGGGCGUAAAAGCUGCCCUGAACAUCGCUUCGCUCGAUUUCGAUGCCUCCAACGGUAAGUCGGAAAGUACCAAAUCGGUGUUAGGCGGUGCUGCGGGUCUGACGUUUGCCUACGCCUUUAAUCCCAAUUGGCGUAUCCAUUCAGGGAUUGAGAUGUCGAUGAAAGGAUUUUCCGCUGAUGAGACGGGCGGUAGUCGUGAACUGACGGUACACGCUGCCUACAUAGAGGUUCCCGUGACGUGCGGCUAUGUAAUCGAUUUAGGCAAAUGGAACUUCGAACCUCGUCUCGGUGCUUUCUUCGCUUACGGCGUGGCGGGCAAUUACAGCGUGUCGGGGGCGGACAGCAAGCAGACUUUCAGUGACAAACUGCUCAAUCCGUUCGAUGCGGGCUUAGCGUUCGGCUUUUAUGCCGACAACGGAAAAAUAGUCUUUGGCAUCGGUGGAGAGUUUGGAUUGGCGGAAGCCAACGGAAAGAAAUUCAGCGUGUCAGGCGGCACUGUCCACACGCGUAAUACAUUCUUAAGUGUGGGUUAUCUGUUCUGAACAUCAAAAUUGAAUAUGGAGAGCGCAUGGAAACCGUGGCUAAACGAAUUCCGUGCGCUCUCUUUUUAUAUAUGUCAAACUUCAAUCGGAUAAAAAAAUGAAAAGACUUGUUAAAACCCAUUCGUUCGGGAAACUGUUUCCGGACAAUCUGACUGUAGCAGAAUUGCGUACUGUAACGGACCGCUUCAUCGAUGAAAUCAUCAACCUUUGUGAAGUGGAAAAGUCGUUUCCCUCGUUGUUUCGUACACUUCAUUACACACGCUUCCGCCUGCAAUCUCUCGACGAAGCAUCGUCCUCCGCAAGCGGAAUGGGGAAAAAAUAUAUCGGAGCUACUCUUUGUCAUUGACACGGAACUGGAAUUGUUGAAGAUGCGGAUGCAGGGAGUUCUUCCUGCGUUGCCCGUCAAACCAGUCCAGAAACUCCGUUGGACAGGUAAAUCAACCGACUUGGUCGAACUCCUUUACGCCCUUGACACCUGCGACUGCAUUAACAAUGGUAAAAUCGGUGUAGAGGAAUUGUCAGACGCCUUUUCUGAAAUCUUCAGCGUGGAAGUCAAGAACUGUUACAAUGUCUAUAUGAACAUGAAGCGCCGCAAGGACGACAGCCGCACCUACUUUCUUGAUGAACUCAGGGAGGAAUUGAACAGGCGAAUGAAGGAAAGCGACCUGAAAGGCGGCAAGUUUAAGAAGCGGUAAAUCCUCAUAUUAAAGCAAAAGGGGGACACCGAAUUGUUCCGUGUCUCCCUUUUUACAUCGUUUUCUGCAACCAAUAGUCGCAGAAUUUGUUCUUAUACUUUGCUUGUUAUUGAUACGCUUUCCACUUUUCCGGUAUCUGUAAGUCAUAGUCAGAAACGGCAAGAUGGAUGGUAUCAGGUAAAAGACUUUGGCGAAACCGAUUUUCGUAACGCUUCAAUUGCGUCGGUUGUCCGAUACCCAUUGAAGCCAAGUUGCUUGAAUACUGAUUGGGAGGAAAAUACACGAACACUUUCUGCCGUGCCUGUGUCGCAAGUUCAAUUGCCGGAAUCAUGUCGCUGUCAGCAGAAACGACAAUAGCCACAUCACAGUUUUUCUGAUAGGCGUCUGCAACAAUUUGUGUUGCAAUUCUCACGUCUGUUUCUUUUUCCUCGUGAGUAUGUAUCACAUUCCCACACUUGAAGCAGGUAAUCUCUUUUUUUAGAUAUUUGCCCAAGAUCAAACGAAAUUUCGGAUUCUCUUUAUUCGCCUGAAAAAAAGCAUUCUGCCGUCGGCUUUGUUCUAUAUCAUCAGGUCUGGCAGAGAAGUAUUUUACUGCAAUCAAUUCCUGAUUGGGUCGCAUGAAACUCUCAAAUAAUUUAACAAUGUCAAGCCAAUAAUAUUUCCGCCAUCGUGUGGUCGAUUUCAGUCCAUAGUAAAAGUUGAAUCCAUCGAUAUAGACGAUAACUCUUUGCUUUUCUUCUGUUUCCAUAACUUCCAUAUAAAAAAUAAGCCACCCCAUUUCUGAAGUGGCGAGCCUUAGUCUUUUCCACCUAAGGGCGAUAAUCUGAUGCAAAGGUAAGCAUUUCCUUUUAUCCGCCAAAAUUUUUCUAUAAGUUUUUCAUUCUGUCCAUAAAAUGUUGAUUCGUAAUUCUCCAACUAUUAGUUGGAGAAUUACCACCUCUUAUCGAAAAGCCCUGAUAACUCUAUAGACAGCCCACAAGCAGGUGAAAGGAGCGGUGAAGACUCCUAUGAUGACAAAGAGGAGGAGUUUGAAGAUAUAGUAAAAUACCCACUACCCGUUUAUUCCGGCAAUCAUUUUAUAGGGAAUGAACUUUUCUGCUCGAUGCGUUCGGAGAAGUUAGCGGUAUCUUGGCACUCGAUAUCUGUCCCUGAAGCUGGUCGGCAGCCCCUCCGAGCCAAGCGUCCAUGGUCUUAGACGUAUUCGCCUGAAAACAAGCAAGGCCAUCGUCCUAUGUCCUUUUCGGCUUAUUUCUGUUCGUGAACGGUAAACCCUUCCGGAAUCGUAAACUUGUCGGCCGGUAUCGUCUCGUUCUCUCUGAUUUCUUUGGCUUCAUCCGUGACGACUACUUGUCCCUCGUUGACCGACUCGAAUUUCAGCAUGAUCCCUUC